rnacentral:lncRNA from 1 species
GCCGACGGGGCCGCAGAAGGCGGUCCAGCCGUACUUCUUCCUCCAGGCCAGGGGCUUAUUGGCGUCCCACGUCGCGCAGUAGGCGCUAACACGGUUCAGGUCCCAGUUAUUCUGAGCCGGGUAGUAGUAGUGGUACGUCGCCCGGACGUUGGACGCUUGCUGCGCGCUGGCCGCCGCGGCGACGCAGAGCAGCACGGCGACGACGGAGCUCACCUUGGCGCUCAUCGUCAUGACGGCUUUGCUUCGGAUGAAAACGGUGGCGGCAUGGAGGCCGGCAUUUAUAGAUGUCGCUGGUGCAAGUUUUCUCGGAUUUGCGUGCAAAAUGGAGCCAAUCUGCGUGACGUGUCUGCUUUCCACGUGACCGGAAAAUUGAAGCCAAUUUGACUUGAAGAUGAAUCGAGGCGCCCGACGCAGACGGGGCCGCCUUUGGAGGUGUAGUACGCGAGCAAAUGACAUGAGAUUCGAUGGUUGGGCACAUGCAUGGAGUCACGAUUCCAACCUCGGAAACCAAAUGUUAGAACCAAAAAAUCCAAUCAAUGGUGUUGCGGGAAACAACUGUAUGCCGUGGUCUCGGGGCCGACGCGGCUUGGUUCGGGUCCGAAUGCGCGGGGAUCCGAUGCGACGCUCCUCGGGGCAGUCGGGGUGGCCGGUCACGACAGUCCGGAGGGAAUGCAACGUGGGGGGGAAGCCUCGGCCGGUGCGGCGUAUGGAAGGUGCGACCUCGCCUUCAUUCCUGCACACAGGUCGGGUCGGAAGCUUGGCCCGACCCCUCCGACGAUCAAGUCAGAUGAUGUGGAAGGGAGUUUUUUUCGUCCAGAGGUCCCCCCCUUUUUCGUUUAGGACUCGGGGGUAUUUAUAGGGUAAUUUAGUGUUACCUGAUGUGCCUGCCUGUGUGAGGCAAGAUCGUACCUCCGAUGGCGUCUGACACUGUUAUUGACGUUGUGUGGAGAACCGAACUGUCGCAGGGUAUGGGCGAAGGUCGGUUGUCGUCCUCCCCUACCGUGGUCAAGCGCACGGGGUCGGAAGUCGUUGCCUGAUAGCGGAUGAUGUCAGCGUGUGUCGAGUCAGCGUUAUUGCCUUCCUCAUUAGGCAGAGUGGCGCCCAGGCGAGGCCGUCGUCGUGAUACGUCAUGUCGUCGUUAUUACCCCUAUCAAAUGGGGUGAGAGAGAGAGAGAGUGAGCCACUAAAACCUUUCCUCGCGCACGGUCAAGUCAUCUACCCUUUAUCCACGUCUUGACUACACAGCAUCCUUCAUUAUCAUAAGAUGGAAAACUUUGGUUCGCCACCAACAAGUCUCUCGUCCCGACCAAUCGGGACGAAGAAUAGAACCCACCAAAAACGCAAGGUUGGGUCUUCUGACAUGAUGCGAUACUUUUUGCAUGAAUCAAAUUAAGAUAGCAUUACAGUGCAAGAACUACUUGAGAACUCACCAUGGAGAGUAUCCAUAUCCCACGCAGCAGGCCCGGAUGUCAUGAACCUGCACCGAACGACAUCGUAUCCACGCAAUCGAUCAAACUCCUGCCGGGCAGAAGCAGUAUCUCCACAACCCAAGCACGGACAUCUUCACGAGAGAAUUCUGCAAAUGAACACGGACCAUGGAUCUGUUAAACGACAGAAGAUCUGUGACGAGAGAAUACACUUGUAAAGAUCAAAACCUGUGGACUGGAUAGAGACAAAACUGAUCUCGCGAGUCGAGUACUCGGGGUGAGGAACUGCAGAGCCUCUUUACCUGGGCUAGUGUGUUGCACUUCUCAAGAAGAACAAGGAAGCGAUCCCAGCUGCACAGAAGCCGCCAUAACUAGCAAACGAAAGCAAGGAUGUAGAAUAUACAUUGGAAUUUACGUCAAAAGGAAGAAUGUGUAUGAUUUGCAUAAUGCCGUAGUAGGUACACCUCCUUUCCUCAUCCUUUAUAGGAGUGAUCAGUUUCGUUUGCGUGAAGUUUCUUUCGUUCUGCAGUUAGACUGAUACAUAUGAAAACAGGCUUGCUCUUCUCGGUACUUAUAACUGUGAGUUUUAACUGACGCAAUAAAGGAUGCCGCCGUUGGUCGACCACGACCAGAUUUAUGUUUUCCCGAUGGAAAAGCUGUGGGUGCUCUUCUCCGUACUUAUAACUGUGAGUUUUAACUAACGCAAUACGAAAAAUCUAUGUAUAAAUAGAAGAGGGAUAUGUUAAUAUAUUUAAGCUUUUUCACUUGUUCAAUAAGGCUUCUUCAAUAAUUGUUAUUAUCUUUUAUUAUUUUUAUCAUAGUACCAGUGAGAAAAGUGAAGCUUCGCUCUUGUCUUCGACCAACGACCAACGCCGUUGAGAAAAGCAAAACUUCGCCCUUGCUUUUAGCCAGCGACCAACACCGCUGCAGCUAAAUUCCUAAGAGGCUCUGCGGCCAAUCCUCAUCUUCCUCACCACGAUAGUCUUCGUUGAUCUGCCAACAAUUGGCGGACUUAAGGAGAACGAAGGACGGGCUUAAGGGGAACGAAAGGAACGCCUGUGCCCUCACAACAAUAGCAAUCGCAGCAGCAACAGCAGCAACGAUAUGCUCUUGUUCUACUCACGACUCUCGCUCGUAAACCAUUCUUUGUAUCGAUCCAAGUCGCAACAGCAACAGUGAUAUACUUUUGCUCUACUCACGACUCUCGUUCAUAAACCAUUCUUUGUAUCGAUCCAAGAUUGGUAUCUUGACAGGAGUACCAUCUUGCGGGGACAUGAUAGAAGAUAAGAUUUCUCCAACUAUACGAGAAAAUCUCUCUAUUCUGUCGAGGAAAAUCCUCCAUUCUGUUGAGGAAAAUUCUUCCUUCUAAUAUGUAUAAAUAGGAGAGGGACAUAUUAAUGUAUUUAAGCUUUUUCACUUCUUCAAUAAUUAUUUUUAUCUUCUAUUAUUUUCAUCACUGAGUUUAUUACGUUUAACUUCUUUUCUUAUCAGGGUCCUUUGCAGGUCUUAUCAGGUUUUCUAUCAUGGUAUCUUGCAGGGAAACUCAAGGCUUUUGAUCGUCGGGGCCACGUUGCAAAACUGUGCAUUGUGUUCCUUCCUCUGCUUUGUGCAUCUCUUAUUGCAAUUUCCCGAGUUGAUGACUACUGGCAUCAUUGGCAAGAUGUGUUCGCAGGAGGUUUUCUAGGUUUGUUUUGAAAUCAAGCUAAACUUUUAAGCUGAAGUUAUUCCAUAUUACUGAAUAUUUUUUGUUUCCUUAUGCAGGAUUGGUAAUUGCUUCAUUUUGUUACCUGCAAUUCUUCCCACCACCUUAUGAUGUAGAUGGUACGUACUCUUUUCUAUAUUAUAUGCAAGUCUCUGUUUGUAUGCUCUGUUUUAUGAGUUUGAUCUCUCAAGAAACACAAAUGGUACUUAGUACAUUUCAUGUACUGGUGUGAGUUUCUCACCUCAUGCAUACAACCUCAGCCUAGUUUAGCUUAAGUUAAUAGUAGUGGAUGCCUUGUCGGCUCUAAUACCAGUUGUAAAGACCCUGAUGAUUCGUCUGUUACUUUUAUUAAGCCUACUGAUUUAAAAAAUAUUAGGCAUCAAGGUCUUAAAAUGACCGAGGCACUAGGUGCUCGUCCGAGUGAAACAAAGCGCUCUUAAAUAUUAAAAUAUAAAAAAAUAUAUAAUAUAAUUUAAAAUAUAAUUAUUUAGAUAAAAAUAUGAUAUUAAAUUAAAUAUAUACUAUUAACAGUAUAUUACUUAAUGUUAACCAUAGAUAGAGGGGGAGAAAACAACCGUUAACAAUAACAAAUGAAGAUAAAAGGGUCGCUAACGAUGAAAACUGAUGGAAAGUGGCAACGGUAGUGAUGGGAAGGCAAUGGUGAGAAGUUGGCAGUAGCGACGGCGAAGGAUUAUUUUAGGACAGUUGUGGUCGGACUGUGAACUGUCACGAACGAUCGUCACGCAUAUGCAACAACUUCGUUCAACGAACCAUUCGUCGCUUUUGCAUGCUUGUACAAAGACAUGGCAGUAUGUUUUACCUUAGUUUUGUGUAUUUUUUCUUGAAAAAAAUGCAUGUUCGAAUAGAUUGCCACGCUAUAGUGCGAAGGCUCACUGCAUGGGCAAAACUACCCAAAAUGGUUUCGUUUUCGCGUGUCACAUCCUGUUUUCUACAAACCGCAGCUGUACGCGAAAUGUCAGCCAUCUCAGCACUCUGAAACCUCCUGGUUGGCACAGGACUAGAUGAGGCUUCGGUAUAUUGUCGGGCAUUGAAUAAUCUUCAUAAGUUCACACGUUAACUUGACGGGAACUUGCCUUUGCGCCCGGCACCCGGUGAGCAGUUGUUUGUAGACUUGCAACUGUUCAUUCUACAUUCUAAAGUCGUUUUCUUCUUUCUCUCUUUUCUCUCUUGUACUCAAGGUGCUCACUGAAUUACUUAUAAAGCUUCCCUCUUCACGAAAUGUCAGGACUUAUCCGUCGUUCGUUUUCAAUCCAAUCACCUUUCUAUUUUACAAGUCCGUCGGGACCUGUACGAGGUUGCAACUAGGUUGACCCUAUGCGGACAUAUAUGUCGCAAGGACACCUCCUGACUUAGGCAAUCCGAGCUAAGUCCGAGGAGUUAACACAAAGGUGCUUCACGACUUAGGCAACUCUAGCUAAAUCUGUAACUUUGUUAUAAGGGUGCCUCAUGACUUAGGCAAUUCUAGCUAAGUCCAUGACAGGAUGAUAACAACAGUUGUGGUGAAAGUUGUGGACAAUAGUGGCGGCAUCGACAAAAGCUGUGAAUAGCAGUAACGGUAGAAGUUGCAGAUAAUAGCAGUAGCAAAAAUAGAAGUUGCAUACAGCAACAGCGACGACAGAAGCUGCGAACAACAGUAGCUGCAGUGACGAAAGCUCUAGAGAGCGUCCGUUGGUGGCAGAAGAACCUGUGGUCUUCUCCCUUGACAGUGGAAGGAACUAUAUACGAAGCAACAGUGAAAGGAAGCUACAAGCUCUUGCUAAGUCAUCAGACUCGUCCGUCGACGACAAAGGAAGGCUCAAUCCACUACGUCUGUGUUGGAGACAACAACAUAAAGCAUCGGCGGCGGAGGCAAAAGCAACGCUAAAGUUGGCUCGAGGUCGCGCGAGCAUGAAAGGUGGCUUUUGAGGGUAAGAAACUAUGCUAUUGAACCGAACCAAACUUAAAAAUCUAGUUCAAUUUGCUUAUUUGGACCCGGCGCUUGCUUGAAGUGCCCAAGCGGUGCCUCAUUGAAGUGCAUCGCUAGUCCACACACAAGGCGCUUAGGCCUCGCUUGAGCGCCUAUUAAGCUAAGGUUACAUUGUUUAAGCUAAGGUUACAUCCGAUGUGAGACCCUUAUAAACCAUAAACCAAUCUGAGCUCACUUCCAAUGUGAGACCCUUACUGUAUUGCAAAUUCCAAGCAGUCAUUAUUCACUUGUAGGAUUCCUAAUCUUGCUAUGUUUUGCUAUUAAUGUGCAUACCAUAUCCACGAAUUUGUAUAUCGAAGUCAACAUUUCACCAAAUUUCACAGGGAAAGCGACAUGUCGAUAUUUAAUGGCAUUAGUAACUUGGUUUGCCAUGUCCAAAACCAUCAAACUCCCUCAAAAAUGCUGCUUGCUGUGAGUUCACUGCAUAAUAUAUAUUUUCCGUCUUCCUAAUUCAUAUCUGGUAUUUCUUCCAGGUUGGUUUCCUCAUGCGUACUUGCAUGCAAUGGCUGACUCCAGACACAACGAUCAACCGACUGCAAACCCUCUUCAGUCGAGGCCGUCAGAGAUGGAGACUGUUUAUGUUUCAUCUGAGGGCCAAGAUGGGAUCCACUUGAGGGACACAAUCCUGAUUCUGAACUCGAUGGAGGCUGGGAGAAGACAGUGAGUUCGACGCUGGGAUGCUGCACGAGUGUAGCAUAGAUUUUCCACAUCCAAAUAGUUGGAAACAUGAUUCAUCAUCUCUUCUUACCUCUCACCAUGUUUUCAUUCUUGAUCCCCAGCAACUGCUUUAAUUUCCCCUUCAAAUGGGAAAUUGAAGGCAGUGUGUAAGAUUCAUUCUUCUCUCUUCUUCCUGCUGUGUAGGGAGGGUCUCUCCUCUGCUCUCUAUGUAUACAUGAUGAACUCCAACAUCUUGUUUUAAGUUAUUCUGCAUGCUGAAACAUUAGAAUUGUCGAAACAUGCAGCCACUGAUGGCGAAAUCUUUCCCUGGCACCAAAACUGUAAUUGGGAAAGACUGUUUAACUCUUCAAUCCAUCUUUUUGUGCUCAAAAAUAGUGUUUCGCAGUGUACUAUGGUUUUGUUUAAAAGGAAUGUCCCAAGUUUAUCGUCUCACAUCAGCGAAUUCCACGAUCUUCUUCUUUGUCAUGCAAAGACAGACAGCAGAGGCAGUCAUUCCUCGUUGUCAUUUUAUUGGAUGGUAAGAUAGCAUUACAGCAUCACGAACUGAGCAUGCAAGCAAGCUUAUUUAUAUAGAUCGAUGUAUAUAUAUGCUUGCAGGAGAUGGUGUGGAAGAGAGGCAACAGAUCAGUCACCGCAGUUGACGAACUGGUAGUUGACAAUCAAAUGGCCUCGAUUGUAGCCGCCACCAUCGGUAUCCAGUUGAGAGAAGACGCCUUGGUCUAAAUCUAACCCUCCGUUGGCGCACUGGUCCACGAUCCUGACCGUAGCCUGAGUUCCCGUCGCCGUGUUCGUCACCUGCAAGACGCUCGCAUGGGACAUGGGUCAGUGUCGAGUGCUCGACCUUUUGCUCUCCCAACACUGCUUCAGUGGAUUGGGAUGGGUCGGCUUAGAACGUAUAGUAUCUGCGGCGUGGAGUUGUUACCCGCAAGCACUUGCCACAGGCGUCGCGGCCGGUCGGGCCGACGGGGCCGCAGAAGGCGGUCCAGCCGUACUUCUUCCUCCACUCCAGGGGCUUAUUGGCGUCCCACGUCGCGCAGUAGGCGCUAACACGGUUCAGGUCCCAGUUAUUCUGAGCCGGGUAGUAGUAGUGGUACGUCGCCCGGACGUUGGACGCUUGCUGCGCGCUGGCCGCCGCGGCGACGCAGAGCAGCACGGCGACGACGGAGCUCACCUUGGCGCUCAUCGUCAUGAUGGCUUUUCUUCGG